GAGGUGGAAGAAGAGGAGGAGGAGGAGGAGGGCGGCUUGGGGAGCCCACCACCGGCGCUGAGCGCCCACGGCAAGGGCCCCCUCCGGGCGAGCCUCAAGGCAACCAGCAUCAAGCGUGAAAUGACCUUCCCUGCAUUUCAACAGGAGGAUGUAAAAACUGACAUCAGUCAAAAACUGCCAGACCAACAGUUUCUCCUGUUCACCACGAAGGAGGAAGAUCUAAAAACAGCAGAGACCAAAAAAACAAGCAGAGUUCAUGAAUAUGAAAAGGAAAACACUCGUUCUGUUUGUCUUCUGGAACAGAAGCGCAAGGUUGUUUCUUCAAACAUUGAUGUGCCUCCAGCAAGAAAAUCUCCGGAAGAAUUGGACAUGGAUAAAGUGACAGCAGCCAUGGUACUGACCAGUUUAUCCACCAGCCCUUUGGUUCGCAGCCCUCCCAUCCGACCCAACGAAUCCCUAAACGGAUCUUGGAAAGAAGGAGGAUUUGUGCCUUCUAGUACCAGCAGCAGUGGAUACUGGAGCUGGAAUGCUCCCAGUGACCAGUCCAACCCAUCCACCCCAUCUCCACCUCUGUCAGCUGACAGCUUUAAAGCUUUUCGAACACCUUCCCAGCCAGAUGAUGGCAUUGAUGAAGCUGAAACAAGCAACCUUCUCUUUGAUGAACCCAUCCCUAGGAAGAGGAAGAACUCAAUGAAGGUGAUGUUCAAAUGCCUGUGGAAAAACUGUGGAAAGGUACUGAGCACAGCUGCAGGGAUUCAGAAACACAUACGGACCAUCCACCUCGGACGCGUAGGAGAAUCUGACUACAGUGACGGAGAGGAGGAUUUUUACUACACAGAAAUCAGGCUCAACACGGACUCAGUAGCUGAUGGCCUAAGCAGCCUUUCACCAGUCUCUCCAUCUUUAGCAUCUCCUCCUUCCUUUCCCACCCAAGACGCAAUCCGUCCUGAAACUUCCUGUGCCAAAACUGAGACUAAAUUGAUGACACCUCUGAGCCGCUCAGCUCCUACCAACCUCUACCUCGUACACACGGACCAUGCUUACCAGGCCACUCCUCCAGUGAACAUUCCAGGGUCAACUAAAUUCACUCCCAAUGGCAGUAGCUUUAGCAUCUCUUGGCAGUCGCCUCCAGUUACCUUCACCGGCAUCCCAGUCUCACCAACUCACAAUCGUCCUGCCGGGAGUGGAGAGCAGAAGCAGUCCCACACAGUUCUUUCAUCACCACCCAGAGUAGCGUUUGGAUUGAGGAAGCCGAGAGGGGAGGGGAAGAAGUGUCGGAAGGUCUAUGGGAUGGAGAACAGAGAUAUGUGGUGCACUGCCUGCCGGUGGAAGAAGGCCUGCCAAAGGUUCAUCGACUGAAGAGCAAAGUUAUGCAGAGGAUUUAGGGAUGGGGAAGGACAACGACAGGACCAGAUUGCUACACCUGCACUGUAUCACUUCCUGUUUCCCUCCAGUGAUGUGGUGUUGGGAUUUUUGUUUUAUUAUUUUUUGAUUUGUUGGUUGUUUUGGUUUUUUUUUAACAAAGAGAGCUUUGUAUUUCCAAGUGAAGCACUUGUAGCCAAGGAGAAGCACUAAUUAAAACCUGUGUGGAGCAAUAGAGCAAAAAAAAGUAAAAAUAAAAAGCAAAACCAAGAACACACAACAAAAUUCUGUCUUACGAAGUACUGACACCGGAGCAGCUAUCAGUGUUUUUCUGUGUUGGUUUUUAGAAAAAAAAAAAAGGAAAAGUGAAUUCCUUGCUAACUCUCUGAACUAUUUGCUCCUUUGGGUUAUUUUUAACCAUUGCAGUCUGUUUGCUGCCAACAUCUGUAUUUGCUAAACUGGACAUUUUUUCUUUUCCUGAAAUGAAGAUCUCUUUUUGAAAGCUUUCUAAUAAACACUUCAGAGUCAUAUAAGCUACAGUUUACUCAACAAAAGCUGUAACUAAGACUGGAGACUGCUAAAUAAUUCUCCUGAUACGAAUGAUCACGAUGAUAUUAUAUUUUUGGAAAGGGGCUGUGGGAAGGAGUUGGGAUUUUUGUUUGUUUCUUUCUAGGAGAAAAGAAAAGGCGGAAUUUUCCUGAAGGACAAACUGCUCCUGGAAGGCUUUUAAACCAUACACAGACCAGCAGAGUGGAAAGGAGUAACUCAUGUACCAAACUGGAUUUUGAGCCUUUGGAGGAAGAGAGGCAGCAAUGGACAGUCACCAGCAGAUCCGUCACUGCCAAAGUGGAGGGAAGAAAUGCAAUGACGGUUGAUGGAAAUCCAUGUUGGAAAGAUUGGAUACUUCCAUGUCUCUGUCCAUUAGGAAGUACACCUGAGUGUGGGAAGCUGUGUUCUGUCUCAACUUACGUGGAAUUGCCAUUAACUGACCAUUAUUUCAAUGCAGAAAUAAAGUGAUGGCACCGGAGUUGAGACCUGCACCAAGCAGUGGGUUCAACCUGUGAUUGACAGGGGUUAGCAGGUGGGUGGCUGGGGGCUGCUGGAAAGCAGCGAUGUAAGAUUUUGGGCUACUGUACGCACAUGACAGCUUUAUGACACCCUUAGCAAAAUAAUUGGUAGCGCAUUAGCAAAAACCCGAGAACAAGGUGUUGCAGUACGCGCCCGUUCUGCUUCUGAUGGCACCAAGCAACAUUAAAUCCUUGUUGCUCCUAUUCUUGUUUGUAUUAGCAGCAAGAAUUCAUUUGAAAUGUAAGGGAAUGAUCAAUUCAUUGACAAGCCACUGUUCUGCUUUUAUAAUACAUCACUCCAAGAAUAUUUUUCCUUCAUUGUUAAUGGGAGAUACCUAAAAUGCCGUGAGAUAAAUGAAUUAAGCAAUGCCAAUACUACUUCAGCUUCUAAAUUACUUUGGACAGUACACAGUAUUACACUGUCACAGUAGGGUUUCGAGAUGAAAUCCAAAUUCUUGAUGUGCGUCCUUGUAAGACAUGGUCUCUGAUGUGCUUACGUGUUCAUUUUUAACAUCUUUGCCAAUGGGAAAGGCCAUGAUUUCUAACUUGCAUUUAAAUCCAGUCCUGUUCAAAAAUUUAUGUUUGACCUCAGAGUCUUUAUGCUGCCACGUUAUACCCUGCGGCCAUUCGCAUACAGUGUGUAACGUGCAGGUAAACAGAACUUACUGAACUGUUUGUACACAAUGCCUUGGGAACGCUAGCAAAAAAAGAGAUGGUGAACACAGAUUUCCUCAGGGACCACAGGAAGGCUGCAAAGGCAGGAUGUAGCUUUAUUUGAGUGGUAGAUGGGUGAGAAUUUGAUUAUUUCUUUUCUGUAUUCUAGGCAGAUUUAAAGAGCAAUAUGUCGCUACUUGAAUCAUUAAACUUGGAAGAAAGCACUAAUUGGUGAACGUGAUCUCACUUAACACUAUCGCUUAUGAAGCUCUAAAUACAAAACAGACAUUUUAGCUGUUAGAAAAAUGUAGGAAAUGAGCUUGAACCAUAAUCUAAAUAUAGUACAAACCUAUACAUUUGUAUAAAUAUUUUCAGAACAUGCUGUAAAUAUAAAGGGUUCUUGUUUAUAUGAUUGCUUGAUUGAAGCGUACUUUGUUUAUAAUUGAACUACUUCCUACCAAUUUAUUUCAACAAGCAAAAAAAAAAAGAACAUGCUAACAUUAAGCCCACAGGGUUUUUUGCAUUGCAAUAGGAAUGUGAGAAAAAAGAAACGUUGUAACUGUAUAUUUUACCAUAUGAAAGCAUUUCUGAGAUAGGUAAGAGGUGUCUAUUAUUUGCCAUCAAGUGGCAGGGAACUUACCUGAGCACAUCAGGAAGAAGUGUGUGAGCUGCAUGAAAGUGUUGUGUACAGUGCCACCCACCUGUAUUGUGGUGCACACAGCACUCCUGGAGGCACAGGGCUCUGAGGACAUCAGGAAAUAACGAAGUUCACCUAAAACACGAGGAUAUUGUGCUUUUAAGACACAAAUGAUGUUGUCCCUGUGUAAUUUUCUAGUGCUAAAGAUCAUCAGUACUUUUACUGCAAUGGAAAUUGCAGCCUUAUUAGUAAGGUGCAAUACUUACGAAGGGCUAAACUGUGGAAACAAGUGGUGUGUGGAUACAUCACUGCCAAAUGUGCACUCUUGUAAAACUAGUUUCUUUAGCACUGGGAUGUAAGUACCUCUCUGAAAUUAUCAUGUUGGUAUGAUUUUAUAACCAUUGAUUGUAAGUUAUGAAACAGAAUUUGGGAUUUCAGAAGAACCAAAAGGAGGAGGGGAAGCUGUAAAUGACAUAGAAUAGUGGUACGUUGUCUUACGUGGCAGAAGUAGCUGUGACACCUUUACAAAGCUGUACACAUUUUGGAUUACUGAAAAAAAAAAAUAAUACCCUUGGUUACAAAAAUAGUUUAACCUGAAUGCAGUUUGGAAAUUGCAGUAAUGUCAAGAAAAUACCUUCUUCUGAGUAAAUUUUGCUUCAUUUCUUGCCUAUUAUUAUCAGGCUUUAUUUGUUCACAAUCAGUGCUCUGAUUGUGAAGAUAUUCCCCAACUAGCAAUACAUGGCUUGAAAUCAUGUUCAUUUGAAAGUACCUUUUGAAAUGGAGAGAUUCUUCCUUUACUACCCCGUAUAAUAAUGAUUUGUGCUGUCUUGAGUAGAGAGUCCAUCAAGCAAAUAGAUUUGUACAAAAAGAUUACUUUGUAGUUCUGUUAUGGAAAGAAUGGGAAUGACCAAAUGGAAGGGCUGCUCACCUCGUUCCUGGAGAAUAUCUUCUCUCCAUCCGCACUGUGAGGUCCACAGAAUACAGGGUGCCCUGUGUGGUGCAUCCUGGGCUUUUGCUGUACACUAAAGACAUACUGCUGUUUUUCCAUUGCUUACUGCUUUUGUCAUCUUCUCAGAAUCCAUCUUUUAGUGAAAGAUUGGAACAGUUCCAUCUGCUGAACAGGAGGGGUUUGUUCUUUUCUUCUGACUUCCUCCAGUAAGGGGCCAGAGGACAAGCUGAGAUAGAGACAUCAGCAACAGACUUGAGCCUGGAGGGAAGACAUGAAACAAAAUUGCUCAGAGAAAGAAAGUAGAAGGAAUCUUGUGUGUUGGCUGUUUCUACAUAUGACUGAUGCCUGUGGCUCCAGAAUAAGGUCGCACAGAGGAAGCCUUGUAAGCACAAUCCUCAUUCAGAUGCUGAAGCACUUUUUCCUCCCUCGUCAUGCAAACAGUUCAGCAGGAAUUACUUCUAAUUAGUCUGAGGAGGAGAGGAAGAGCAGAAGGUGUUGUUGUAAGGAGGGCACCUUGUGAAGCCUGCAUGAACCCCGCCUGUAGCCAGGGUCCCGCACUGCAUCUCUCAUCCUGCAUGAGUCCAAAGCAGUCAGUUACAGAUGUCUCUUUUGAUUUCAUUUACAAGUCUGGUAAGACAUCUUGUUGCACAAUAAGAGCAAAAUGCACUGUAAGGAACUGAGCUUGAUGCAUUCUGUUUUUUUCUCAGGAGAGCUCUGUGGAUAACUUCAGUGACCAGGACUGCUCCUGUGGGUGGCAGCUCUAGAGAAGAGGCAGUGGAUUUUCCUCCAUGCGAUUGUUCCCACUGGCACUGGGACUUACAGACCUGUGUGUCUCCCCUUCUGAGUGCUGGAAAUGAGAAAUGUGCAAUCAGGCUUUGUGAGAGGGGUAGAUGUGUACCUAGAGAUGUGCUCACUGCUGCUAGGCCUUGGUGGCCUUUCCAGUGAUACCAGAGUGACUGUAGGUUGGAUGUGUCAUUUAGGGGUGGAUUUAAGAGCUGCUUAGCACGUGGUGUUCAGUGUGCCAUGCAUCUCACUACUGCCAGGCGUGGGAAGGAGGUUUCUCAGAGCAGGAUCUAAGAUGGCUGUCAGCCCAUUGUGGCCAGUCACGUAACCUGGGCCACCCAAUGGGAAGUCACCCCGUGCUCUGUAGAGAAAUUAAUGUUCUUCUUUUCAGAGAGUGAAAUGGGACUGCCCUGGUUUUGCCUAGCACUGCCAUUUCCUGCCUCAGCUGUGGGCUCAGUAGGGGCCUGGACACCAAACCCCUACAGCUGCACUGGCACCUGCUCACUCAGAGCUCCUGCAGUACUAUUAAAACAGCAUUGAUUUUGAUAUGAAAAUGAUUUUGUAGGGAAAGAAACAGGAGUUACAUCAAUAAUCCUAUAUCCCGUGAGCCAUAAUGUUAAGCGUGGCAUGAUUUUGCUAAGCAGAUACUGGAGGGCUAAUGGGACAUGAAGAGCAACCUGUGGGGACCUCAGUCCUGCCCUGACCACAGGUACACCCUGGAGCCAAGCUGAUGUUAUUUGGGUUAAAUGGGGAAGUGCUCUCUUUCUCUCUGUAGAUCUCUGGGCCACAGAGAAGCAGGAUACAUUUCUUGUCCUGGUAGUGGAACUUUCCUAAAUAGAAAGACCCAUCUCUUCUUGCAGAUUUUUGGUCUCUGGAGUACAGUGUCAGUAGGACGGUGGUGGGGAGUGCUGGGGCCUGGUGGGGAAGGGUUCAUGAUGUACUUGGAGAAGGAGAAAAUCAAUUGCACUAUGAUUAUUUACACUGUGUGAAAAAAAAGCAAUUAUACUUCCUAGUCAUCCGCUAUUUAUAUUUUAUAUUUUAGAAGUAUUUCUAGCUAUAAGUCUGUAGAAAAGCAAGAGCCCAGUUAGCCGGUGUUAAUGAAUACAGAACUUCUCAUACAUGCUGCUUGCAUAAGACAACAGUAUCCAUGCAUCCUUCUGUCUCUUUUCAGUCAUGAAAGGGAAGUACCUGCCUGCAUAUACUGGUUUUCCUUUGAGUCCUAUCAAAUAUUGUUUUAGAGAGUAUAAAGUAAAUUGAAGUUCCUUUUCUGCUUUAUUUUUAGAAUCAGAGCAUCUUCUCUUACAGUGUAAAUUUACUUUUGUGGAGCUCUAAUGUGCUCUGCAUUGCACUUUAUAUAUUUGUCACUUGUUGGGCCAUUUAUUUUUGAUAUACAAAACAAUAAAAUUUUUGUUACUCUAGUUUUACCUAGAAAAUAACCAUGAAACUAAGAUGUUUUUAUAAAAAUGCAAGUUCCAUAAAAUGUAGCAAAUGAACUAUUUAGAUUGGAAAUGUUUUUAAUGAUAGCGCUGAGAAAUAUUAUAGCCUCUGAAAUGAUUUACUAUUUAGGAAAUUCAAUAUAUUUAUGGAUAACAUGAGUAUCCACUGGAGUAUCAGUCAAUGGAGUAUGAAUAAACAGGAGACAAAGCUGGAGCGGUUGGAUUUGCUCAUAUAAAAGACUUGUAUUAGUUCAACUGAUAUGAGCCUGAGAUGGCCCUUGGCUCUGCAGGGCUGCACUCAUGCCAGUAUGACUGACUACCAUGAGAAGCCAAGAUGCUGUUUCUGCUUGUUUUUCUCUGGCUUUAUCCCCUCCAGCUUGGGGAACCAGCGUCCUAAAGACAAUCUUCUUGUUCCUAAGUGCACUAAUGAAGAACUCGUCUUCCCCAGAAUUUUGUUGUCAAGCAUGGGACCCUUAUACUGUCCACAUGUAGGUUAAUAUGAGUGCCAGUUUCACUGCUUUAAAUGGAAACCAAUUUCUCUGCCGCUGCACAGGAUCUCUUGAAAUUUUGUGGAGUAUGCUGAAAGAAAAAGACAUUUGCACUUUGUCCAAACUGCGUUUGCUCCAAAUCACAGCUGGUACUGUGUUCCUGCAGCACCCAUCCUGCAGAGCUGAGCAGUGAAGGGGACGAGGGCUGUGAUGCCCCCUCCUUCACGUGGUGAAGCACUCUCCCUAGCUGUACACACAGGUUCUCUGUGGAGAGAUGGAAAUCCCCGUGAAAGCUCCUUGUCAGCCAUGCAGCAGAGUCCCUAUCCCUCUUCAGAGCCUUCAGGCGCUCUGCUUUCUCAUUUCUGCACCCAUAGGUGCCAGCAGAAGUGAAUGGCUCAACCUCACAGUGUGAAGACAGUCCCAGCUUGAGUUCCGAAUGCAUCACCUUGCCGUUGUUUCACACAGCCUCACCUUCACCUACAAAAGAUAAGCAGGGCCAAGGGACUCUGACGGAUGGUGGUUCUUCAGGCAGCGCACACAGCUCUGCUGCCCAGCUGCUUUCUGCAUUCUUGGAUGCGUUUGAAGGAAAGUUGAAAAGAGAGGAGACUUUUGCAAGUAGCUGAUACUGGCAAUCUCAUUUGAUCCUGCCACUCUGAGGCAGUGGCACAGAUGUAGGUUCUUCCACUGCUGGCUGCUUGUACAUGGCUAAACAUCAGCCAGCAGACACUGUUUCUUAAGCUGAAACCCCUCUCAGAACAGGAAAAUGCCACCAUGAAGACCUUUGUUAUCUCCCUCCCUGUCUUCUUGUUGCACUGGCAGCAGGAGAAAAGUGCAGAAAUCAUAGGAACCUGGCCAUAACUCAUCCAAAUGCCUUUGCACUGCCACAGGCAUUAGAUGAAAAACUCGGGGCAUCCAAAAUUUCUCUAGGAAUUUUGCUGUUACUUUCUUGGGGAAAAAAAGGAUUUAAAGUCUUUGGGUCCACAUCUGAGUUGAUUUUGCAUGCUGAAUCAAGAGCACUUCCAACAAGCUUCAGAUACGUAGGCAGUUAUCCGUAGUACAAGUGAUGCUACUCGAACGUUUUGAUUAUUUUUCUUAAAACAUUUGUGAAAUUAGCAAUGUGCAUAUUAGCAUCUUUAAAUCUAUGAAGAAAAUAACUUUAAAUAUUUUUUAAAAGCAUGUGCUUUCACUUGAAACGUGAAAGAAGACUACUGAAAGAAUGUAGUUUGCUAAGCACUGGCUCCUGAGUUUGUUAAUGCACUAAACUUGCAUUCGACAGAGUAACUUCUUCUAAGUAAUAAUUUCUUCUCGAAUUAUUUGAAUAAUUCAGGAGAUGAACAGUUUGUUUCUGGUCGCUGGGUUUUAGAAAGAAGAAAUCUCGUCCUGCUGCACUUUUAAAAUUCAGUAUUUGUAUGGAAAAAAAAUCUUGUUGCUUUUCCAUUUCCAACUGAAUGAUCAGCUCAAAUAAGGAUCUAAAUCAUCUCGUAACUUUUUUCUAAAGUAAAAACUAAGAACAUGAAAAACCGUGAAUGUGAGGAAUGGUGCACAAAGUCAUUAACUAUGUUCAGAAUUCUGACUGGUGAAAGUCUUUGUUAAAAUUAUGUUGUGUUGCACAUCACCCUGAUACAGGGAGAAAACAAUUUUUCUUCUGAAAGAAAGAAAGAAGAGGGAAAAGGACAAAUGGAAAACAAGAUUAAAUGACAUCAGUUAAACCCGGGUUUCCUGCUUGUUUUUAGGUCAAUCCCUUCCAUUCUAUCACUGUUGUGGGAUGCUCAGGACAACAGACAUUCCUCAAGGGAAGCAGCUCGGCUCCAAAGUGGGAAAUCAAAGCUGUGAGCAAAUUUGUAGAGUUUUCAAAAUAUUAGCUAUUGCCAAAAAAAGCAUCAAAGCACUACUUGCUACUGAACGGGAAUUUCGGUGUUUCAAAGGAAUCACUUUUUAAUCCAGAUCAUUGCUGUAUUUACAAACAGAUUUCUGUCGGUCUACUUGCUUGUCUCUUAGGGCUAUGUAUGUCCACACCUCAGAGCAGGGCACAACUAAUACUCAGAUGGCCACAACCGAACUGGAAUCUCUUGCAAUUCCCAGUUACGUUACACAUUUUUUGAAGAAACAGCAAUCUUUGACUGAAAAACUACUGAAAACCAUCUCAAAAUAAGGCAACGAGAAAAAGAAACAGCUUUAUUUGGGAAACACCACUGAGUUCCCAUCAAUCCACAAGAUGCGUGCUUAGUUGCCCUCCUGUAGCUUUGUGAGAUCGCAUUUCUGUUGAAGGCAGGCGGUGAUUAAACUACAUAGCAAAGAGACUUCCUUUGAUCUAUGUAAAUGAAUGUAUAUGUAUAAACUAUGCAUUUUCAUCCAGCUGCAAACUGUAUCUCUAAGCAGUUAAAUCUAGCCUUUUCCUCAAUGUUAGCAACUCCCAAACUCCAGGAAAAGAAGGUGCUCCUCAUCUUUUUUAGCAUAUAAUUCUCUCCUGUCUUGCUUCUGUGCUUUACAAAGGCAAGAUGUGUGAGGGGAGAGCUGUGAGGCCCAAGGAGCACCAAGCAGGGCCAUGGCUGAAGCUGGAACCUGUGACCGAGACCAGGCUGGGCCCAGCAUGGUUGAGCAGAGGGCUGUGGCUGCUGCUCCAGCUCCAGCACGUCUUCCACAGUUGGGCAGCAGAGCGGGAUCAGCAGCUGCUGCCUCACACAGGGUCAGUGGGAGUCUGCAGCAGUGCUGGAAGAAGCUAUGCCUAGGAGGAGGCCACUGCAGACUGGGUUUACAGCCCUCGCUGUCCCCCUGUGAGAGCUUUUCUGGCCACCACAGCCCCAGGUCUGUCCUUACCUCUCCAUGUCACACAGCACCCAGGAGCCUCCUCUGACUGCAGGUGUAUGGCAGCGCUUGCAGUGGGCAGUUCUUCACUGUGAGCACUGCUGUGGCUUCAGGAGAGGAAGGGUCAGGCCCUGGUCUGAGCGUAUCCCUGCUAGAAGGAAUUAGGAGAAGUUGAAAACGGAGUCUUGUUCCUAAUAAAAUGAAGGAAAAAGGUGCUGCAUGCAAUGUUAUUACUUCCAUUUCAGGUUGUUGCUGUAAUAUUCAUCAGCCCGGUCUGGUCAGUGAAUUAAGUGUGUUUCUUAUGGCUUAUCUUGCAGGAAGAAAGACCAAAAAAAAAAAAUAAAAUAAAAUAAAAUAAAAAAUAAAAUAAAAUCCUUCUCUCAUAUGCAACCUAUUCAAGUAUUUGAUACUAGUAUGGCAGCAGUGGUAUUUUUAUCUAUCCAGAGAUGUGCAUUCAUUUAGGUUAUGCUCGACUGAGAAAUAUUUUUGCAGUAUGUAUUUGUAUUUGAUGGGCUGCGGCCCUUCAUUUUAUAUUCUUUACAAGAAUUAGCACGGAAAUGAUGCUUCCCCAUUUACUGAGCUACCUGACCAUCCCAGCUGUCUGCAUACAAAGUAUUUCCAGAACUUUGGAGGAUUUGGGAUUUUGGUUUGGUUUAAACACUGUCCUUCUUUAAAAAACAAAACAAAACAAAACAAAAAAAUUAAAAAAAUAAAAAUAAAAAAAAAAAAGCAGUGCUCAAUAGAAAAGCAUAUUCCUUACCAGGGCUCCUGCAACGUGAUGCAGAGAACCCAGUGACACGAUGCAAAUGCUUGAGGCCAGGUCUCCGCAGGUUCUCAGCAGCCACAGCUCCCAUGGCUGCAGCACGUCCACCAGCAGAGGAGCUGCCCCCAGGAGGGGCACGUGGAGCUGCGGGGUGCUCAGCGUGCUGCGGGGCUCUCUGGAGCUGGCACAUCCUCCUGCCAGGACGUGGCCUGUAACAGCAACAGAAGGACACCACUGCAUCUCUCUGCAACCCGGGAUGUCCUGCGGGUGUGCUGCGGCUCCGGCUGCAGUCCCUCAGCUCAGAACUCUGAGCGCAGCGCUCGGGCUUUGGCAUCACUUACGAUCACAAAGGUAACUUUUUAAAUGAGAAAGAGCUUCCAACUCUGGCACUAAUGGAAAUACUGAAUACUUUUAACAUAUAUAUAUAUAUAUAUAUAUAUAUAUAUGUAUAUGGAAAGUAUUUGAAAAGAAAAAAAAAGUAUGGUUUUUUUUUUAUACAACUUUUAGCCAAAUAGAAGCAUUCUGAUUAUUACUUCUGUGGACAGCUGUCCACCUGUAAAUAAGUUCCUAUGUUCAGGUACCUGAACUUGGAGAAAAAAAAAAUAAUAAAGACUGUUCACUGGCUAUGCGCUUUGCUAGCUCUUGCUUCCUUUGUACAUAAGAGGUAACUGUUUAAAUGUUGGGUGGGGUUUUUUUUAAUUUAACUGCUGUUCCUCUAAAGAAAGAAGAAGAAAAAAAAUCUUUUGACUUUGUUUUCUCUUUUCUGAGUCAAUACAAAGAUUUUGUAACUUUUUACUGCAGAAAUGGAUAAAUCCGUGGUGCUAUGUGAAUCUGAGAGUCAAACUGGCCAUAGCAGACACACAAGUUAGGAUGCACUUUUCCUGUGGCACACGAUGUAUUUUCUCAGAAUGGACUUUCAAAGGACCAUCAGAUGUUUACAUUUCUUCUUGUUGCCCCAAAUCGUUUUGGAUAUAGAAAUAACCUUCAAAAAUAGAGAAAGACGCGAUGCGUUACCGAUGUGAUGAAUCCUUACACCUAGGUAUCUACAACAGUUUGUACAAAUACCAUUUUAGAGAUAGUUGAAAUAUUGGGCUUUCAUACUUUGUAAUGCUUGGAUGUGACAAUAAAUAUGCUGUUGCUAUCUAUCUAGUCUAACCUCAUUGUAGGCCUGUAAUUUCCUGUUUAUGGUUAUGUCAUGAAUUGCACUGGCUUGACUUCAGCCAAAUACUGACUGUUCAGCUGAAAUAUUCCGACUGUUAUGAUGUCCACAAAACAUUAAUUAAAUGCACUUGUAACCGACUACUGAGGAGUAUGUCAAGUUAUUCAUGUAAUAAAACCCAUAUGUACGACUUUU